AAAGAUAGGGCAAGUGCAUAAUAAGAAAUCAUACAAAAAGAAAAGAAUUGUGUAUGUCCAACAAAAGAAAAAAAAAAGAGAAAAAAAAGAGAAAAAAUGCACUUGCCGAGACUUAAGACUCUAACACCUUUAAGAUGCUCGCAAAAAAAAAUUGAGUAGAAAAAAGAGUCAAAAGAGUGAAAUUAACCCCCAGAGUAUACGUGAUGCACGAGAAAAAGAGAAAGAAAAAUCACACAAUAUGACUGCCGAGUUCAAAACCCU
rnacentral:lncRNA from 1 species